CAGGGCCUCCCCCAAGCCAGCCAGGGACCUGGGAGCUAGCUAAGGUGGCGCUUGAACCUCAGCAGGGCCAUCGGGUUACCACGUGAUGCUGGGCAUGGGACUGAAUCACUUGAAUGCUCUCAGGUGCUUCUGUUCAAUUUGCCUGAGUCAAAGUUAAGCCCCAGGAAAUUGUUAAUCAUUAAGAGGUACCUUACUGGCUUCUAUUCCAAUCUGAAGACAUGAAGCAGAGCUCUGUCUGCAAGUUUCAAAGGUCCAGCAGAGAGUUGUGAACGUGAUGAGAUACAAGCUUGGGAUAGAAGGGAAGGCACCAACAAACUGCUGAUACAUUGUUGCAAAGUCAUAGCUGAGGAACUUGUACUGCGUAGGAAUUUCCCAGUAGAUGGAGCAGACACAGCUGCCUUUGCCUCGCUGAUCCUAGAUCACCGUCAGUAGGAAGGACCUGAGCUCAAGAAGGGUGGAAUGCCUUGUGAGCAUGGGAAGACAUGCUUUUUCUCUACCUCUCUCCGCCUCCCUCCUCCUCCCUCUCCCUUCCCCUGCUCCUUCUUUCCCCUGCCCUCUCCCAUGCCCUCUUUCUUGUCCAACCUUUUGACCCAGGAUGUCACAAACACUGAAGGAUAUCUAGGAGCUAGUGUGUGAGUACAAGUCUCACCUAAUCAGAGGAG
rnacentral:lncRNA from 1 species